GGUUCGCGUCCUCCUCCCCCGCCAGCCCGCCGGUUCGCGUCCUCCUCCUCCACCCGGCAGCCGGCGCACGCGUCCUCCUCCACCCGCCAGCGCGCGUCAUCCUCCUCCGCCCGCCGCCGCCCGCAUGGCACCGAAGCGCCUGGCCGCGCCCGCCGCGGCGCCGUCGGGAUCCGCGUCCGAGGCCUCCAGAGCGGAGGCGGACGCGCCCCUGCACCACCCCUCCUCCCAGUCGCCGUCCAAGACGCCGCCGCCGCGGCCGCCUUGGUGGCGGAGGAGACCGCCGCGGCCGGAUCCGAUUCCCGGGCCCCCUACGACUCCGACGCCAACCACCGGCCCGCGCUCCGAAAAGCGGGCGCCGCGGCGUCGCCGUCGCCGUUGCGCAAUCCCAGGAGCCCCAGGCCGCGCUCGCGCUCGCGCUCCCGAACCCCGGACUUCGCCCUGCCGUCGGCGCGCGCGUCCCCCCUCCCCCUCCCGUUUUUCCUCGGGCCGGCGUUCCUUCACUUGCGUUGCCGCCGCUCCGCGCAAGCUCGCUUCUUCCCUGGCAUCCGCUCGGGCCGCCGAUCCGUCCCCAGCGUUGCCUUUCUCCGCUCCGGCUCGCGCCUUCCAUGGCGUCGCCUUCCGGCGCCCUCUCCGUCGUCGGGAGAUGGCAGCACCAGCAGCUCUGCGGCCUCAACAUCCAUGAGGCGCGGAGAUAUGCGACCAUCCUCGACUCCCCGCUCUCCAUCGCCUGCGCGACCUCGGCCAUGCUUCCCGCGGUGUCACGGGGGGAGGCGCCCGCGCGUGUGCGGCGGCACCGGCCGCAUCGCGCAGGGGUGUACGCCGCCUGUCGCGCGGAGCCUGCUGCCCUCCCCUACACCGCGGUGUCAUCCCAUCGCGUGAGAGCCCCUCCUCGCCAAACCCACCGCCUUCCCUUGCGCUGCUCAUCCUCAUGCUUCUGUGCCUCCGGGUCCGGGGAAGAAAUCUUGUUCUGGGUCCUCAUCGUGCACCUCGCGGCCGCGGGGUAGUCGCCACGGAGAGGAAGACGGCAGCAAAACCGGUCGCACGGAGGUCUGUGGUGCUCGCUCCCCAAGUCCGCCUCCUCAAUUGGCAUCCGCGUCUGCUCGAUCUGGAGCAUGUGCCGCUACUUAGUGGUUGUGCGAUUGAGAGGAGCAAAGCUGCUGGCCACUGCUUAGAUUAGAUUGCCCACGAGGGAGAUGGAUUGGGAGGAGCCGGUGCCAUGUUUGUUGCUUGGGUAGGAGCAGAUGAGGAUAGAAGAACAGAGACGAGGUGUCCUGAUGAUUAUAUUCUUUGAGUUGUUAUUUUCCCAUUUGGAGGACAAAAAAGAAAGAAGCCAACUACUGGGAUUACUUGCUUGGUGGAGGCAGAGGGAGAAGAGAAGCUGCUACUGUAUGUGUUUGCUUGACAAGGGCUGGCUUGCUAGAGAGAAUAAAAGGUCGGGAGCAUUUGUAGAUUCAGAAUAUGUCUACAAGUGCUAGCAUAUUCUUCAGAGAUUGUAUUGUUUUAUGAGUAAGUUCCAUUCAAGGAAUUGGCAUCAUAUUCAUAGGUUUUUUUUAACCCAAUUCAUGGUUGUGAGUCUGGGCAAUUUAUGGUUGUUUUUCAUCAAAUAUUUCUGUUAACUGAAAAUUUAGUGUAGUUGCUUCAUAUUCAGGAUUUGUUUUUGUCAAUCAAUUCACGGUUGUGAGUUUGGGCAAUAAUAAAAUUCUUUUUUCUUGGAAGCAUACUACAUUCCUUUUAGUAUGCUUUUUAGGCCUUGCCAUGGCUAUUCUGUGAUCCUCAUUGACCUGUUGUUGGACCAAUUUUAUAAAUUACCAUUGCGUAGUGCACUGUUUUCCAUGGUCUAGAUACAUGUCAUAUGCUCUUUGGUAUUGCUAUGUGCUGGCUGAGGGGGUUGUAUAUCUCACUGGAAUUGGGAUGAUUCUAAAAUUGCUAUGUACUUUUUAUGAUCAGAUGCAAAUAUGAAUAUUUAGAGAUAAGUAAAUUUUAUUGACAUCUCAGCCUAUCUAUUUACUUUUCUUCUUUUUUACAUUUGAUCAAGAAGUUCUAUCAUGCAUUACUAAUAAAACCAAGCUAUGGAAUGCAGGUAACAACUACUAUUUCAUUUUGUCAUCGAGCUCGACUGAUCGAGCAGUAGUUGUUUUUCAAAGGGACGUGCUCUUCUGCAUAAGAUCAACAUUUUGGGGGCGUCGUCAUCCGCGAGCUAUUUGAGAUGGUGGUCGCCGCCGGAGAGAAGAUGUGUUUCGGGGGCGUUGGCUCCAAGCUAAAGGGUGAUUUUAAGGACAUGGAGGACAUGAAGCACAUGGCUGUCUGCGAGACGCUUGGCGACUCCGACAAGAAGCUACAUUAUUUCUCAGGGCGGCAGAUUGGAGCAGAGGGGAUCCGUGCCAGAAGGUGACGUGAUGUCCAAUCUCUUUUACUGGUGGUUACCAACUGAUCCAACCGAAGACUGCACGAUAUGUUGCUGUCUACCGAGUGGGGAGUGUCGUUCUUGCCCACCCGAGAACUUUUAAGCCAAGCGGGUGCACAAUGUACUUCAUCAAUAGCAUAUGUACCUUUUUUUAUAUAGUUCCAAACUAUGAUCUUGAACUAGAAACUUUCGUGUGCUAUGUUUAUACAUGAUAUAUGUUUAUGCUUGUUUUUUGAAUGAGCAUCAAGCGACAUGUUGCUAAAA